CACAAAUGGUCUCAUUUCUCUCCUCCUCUCCCGUGCGCCUCUCUCUUCCCCUCUUCUUCUCUGUUUUUCUUUUCAUUUUGAUUUCCAAAACUUUGAAGCAAGAUCUUGAUCUCAUUUCUUAUCGAAAUUGAGUGCCGUUUGAGGCAAAACGAAGCUCGUGUCAAGCUCUACACAUCCAUACAAGCGAUUUCAGAUUUAGUGCACUCCUUGGAGUUCGAAUCUUAGGACCCAUUUCUAGGGUUUGUGAAGAAAAUUGGGGUUUUUGCUCAAUUAGAGGAACCGGUAAGGAGGUAGUGGGUGCCGAUCUUCCACAAGCUUAAGGAUGACUUGGAGCUCAUUUUGUAUCUUUUGUAUAUCUCCCAUUUUUGUAAGGCCCCAAAAGUGUAGUAAUGUGUAUUUAUUUUUCAAAACCAUGGUUAGGUAAUAUAAUUAUGUUACUAGAUGAUAUUUUGGAUGUGAGUUUGAUAUCAUGUAAACCUUAUUGAUGAAUGGGGAGGGAAAUACUAGUUUGAAAUAUUAUCGAGGUCAUUUGAUUGUGUAUUAUCAUUUACUAUUGCCGUGAAUUCGGAAUUUGAGCCAUGACAGGUUAGAAAUGCAUUUUUAAACAGGUUGUGGUAGAUCCAUUUUUAGGGGAGGUUAUGCUGAAUUUUUGUUUAAAAUUUUUGGCAUCAGCUAGGGUCGUUACAAACUUGGUAUCAGAGUUAUGGUUCGAAAACCUUAGGACGACGGGUAGAGGCCUACGUAGGAUUGCGUGAGAAGUUGUUUGCCUUACGUAUGAGAUUAUUUGUUACGUGCUUAGAUAUUUGAAGAAGCAUGCUAAAUCAUUUACUUGCCUAUGUGCUACAUGUUAAAAUGUUCAAAUGUUGUGCAACAUGCCUACUUGUUUACUUGUUUAUCUGUUUAAUUUCCUAUAUGCUUAUUUGUUUAUGUGAUCACAUGCUUAUAUGUUAUAAGUGUGAAGCACUAACUUAAGUGAUCCCCGGGUAGGUGUUAUGUCUUCAGUGCAUAAUUGUGUAGCAUGCACGUUUUUAUGUUGUAUUAGUUUUAUGAGUUAUCACCUUCGACUGGGGUAGGUAUCAGCAUUGUGAGCAAGGGUGAGGUGAAUAGCACAAUCUUCUGAGUCCGAUUUGAUCUGAAUGUGUCGUUCCACUAGGAGUUUUUUUUCCUAGAGAUUGGCAAUGGCGAAAAGGUUUGAUCUUAGGUGUCUUCCGGGACGGAAAUUCUAAUUUUCUUGCACGGGCAAGGGUUUAUGUUGUGUUUCCUUGGUGUAGCGAAUGGACUCUUGGGAUGAUGGAUUAGUAGAGUAGGGUGUGUAAGUCAUGGGAUUCUUUCACGUAUGCAAAGUUGAUUUGAUGUCGCAGGAUGUGAGGUGGUGUGUAGUGUAUGACUUGUAAGGUUCAGGUAUGGUGCGGGUUGAACAAGGGUUGUAUUUGGAUUUUUAUCCAGAAGUUUACUGAUGUCAAGGUUGAGAGUUGUCUCUUAGUUUGCUGUUUUGGGGAUGAGAAUAGAAGUUGACUGGGGUUGGCGACCAAAUGGAUAGGUUGCACUUUUUGUUUCGAUUUCCAGUGAGAAAGGCAGAAAUUAAGUGUGAUGUUGUUUGGUGACCAUAGAGUGUUGGUCACAGAUUGUGUUAAGCCAGGAUGAGGAGUAACCUCUUGGGCUUGGUGGCUUGUUCUAUUUGAUUUAUUUGUUUUGUGGCCUUGUGGGCGGGUGUGUGUCAGCGUGUGCAGGUGGCACCAGAAGGCUACCACACUGAGCGAGCUACGGGCACACAACUCAGAUGAAAUCAAUGUGGACAUUCCAUUGUGUUGGAUGGUAGUCAUGGUUGUAGGUAGUAUCUAGUUAGAUAUCAAUGAAAGACCAUUGUUUUGUAAUUACCGUAUAGUGUAGUUUAUGUGAUUGACCAUUUAGCGCAAUGCUUGUUUCCCUUUUAGGGACUGUUUCUGUAGUGUGCCACGUAGGAUUCUUAUUUUCUUGUAACGGGUUGUUGACUAUGGUGUCGGGUAUCAUGAGUGAUGUGUGUUUUCAUGUCGAGUUAGCAUCACUUUUGAAUGACCAGUUGGUAAUGGAGGCUUGUUAUUUCCAAGGGAUUAGAGUUGUGUAGUUAUUUUGGGAAGGAUGAUCAUGGGGGUAUUAAUAUUGGAUGUUCCUGUAUUAUAGAGUAAGUCAGUUCAGGGGUGACCCCAGUAUUCAAGAAGAAAGUGGUGAUUGAUUGCGUUAUUGAUGGUUUUAAGGAGACAGUUGGGUGUUGAGCAUUUUGGAUUUUUAUGCUCAUUUUUGUUUGAGGAUUUGUUGGCAUGGCAUUGCCGUAUGGAUGUUCUUAUCUAGUGGUAAAUAGUGGUCGUUGUAGGAAGUACUGAGAGUAGUACUCAUUUUAUUGUUGUGAUGGUGUUACGUUAGGGUUAUUGAGAGAAGAAUUGCUUGGUAGAGGUUUGAUGGUUUGAUGGGGUCAUAGACUUAAACCGUUGUCUUAAAUGAAUGGCCGUGAAGACGUUAUGAUGUAGUUUGGCAUUGAUGAGCACAAUGUUCGAGGUAUGAUCCGAAUGUAGGUUGAAAAUUUUGAGUGUUGUUAUGUGCUGACAGGUAUGUGAUGGGAUUGUGCGCCAGUUGUGGCGAUUGUGGAUGGCUUAAUUUUUAGAACUAGUGAGAGUAGUAUUGCCAGAUAGGCACCCUUAUCUUUUGAUGAGUCAAUCGGUCGUUGUGAUUGAGGUCACCGAUUUUGUGUAUACAGUGAUUGAGGUAGUGUAGACUUCAAAGGGUAGAGGUGGAACAGGUGAUUUUAUGUCGUAGUAUUUCAUAAAGUUUUUCAUUGGGUGAUUAUUGGGUAGGAUGGACGGUGAUGGUUCCUAGUGUCAGUAUGUUAAGGGUGUUGGUGCUUUAAUCUGACUAGUGUUGCAGAGAAGUGUGCACGAGGUUUUUUUUUUGUGUUGAUAAUGUCUAAUGAUCCGUUAGUGAUGAUGUCGCUUUAAUUGGUGUUCGUGGUUCCGUAAACGUUCCAAGUUGGUUCUUUUCCUUAGGGUAUAAGGAGUUCAUUUCAUCUCAGGUGAGAUUGGGUAUCCAUGGUUGGACGACUGGUGAGUAGUGUGUGAUAGGGUGUUUAGUUCAUUAAGGUGCGAGUUGUUGGUCUCUUGUGAGAGCGGGCUCUGUUACCCUUCCGUUUAUUCUAGUCCUGGCAAGGAAAUCCUUUGUCGUAAGUCUUGUUCUCCCUUUAGGAGUGGUGUGCGUCCGUGGGUGGACAAACCUAUGAGUGGUUUGUUAUGCUGUUGGGGUUCCUCGAUAGAGGUUUUGGUUGAAUGGGUCGACUCACUCCCACGGAGGGAGGUGGAGUCUUUAGGUUUUGUAGUACUUAUUCUGAGAAUGGUUUUGACAGGUGGAAUAUGAGGCACGGGUUACCGAAUAGGGAUUUUGUUUUUGGUGUAUUGUACUAUCGAUGAUGGCUAGAGAUGAGUUAUGAACGGCAAUUGAGGAUAAUUAGGUGAUGAGAUGUGAGUCAUGUGUUUGGGUGUUUUUAUUGAUGUCUGAGGACAGGUAUUGGUAUUGUUGAGUGUUAAACAGCUAGAGAGAAAAUGUGUGGUUUCACUCAGUAAUAAUAGGAGUGAUUGACUUUAGUUUUGAGGUUUCAGGCAUGAGAUUGGUGUAUUGUGGGUUCUGAAAAGGUAAGAAUUGAAUUGAAUAGUGCUGUGUUGUUUAUCUAGUGUGGGUGUUAUGAGGAAAUUAGAGAUAUUUUGUACGGGUUGAUGAUUGUGACGUUUGGUGUUGUGUUGCUUUUAGUUUGUUAUGAUUGUGUGAUUAAGGCAUGAUUGAGAUUCUUAGAGCUGUUAUACAAUUGUAUAGUUAUUGGGGUUGUGUAUAGAAAUGGAUGGAUAGUGAGUGGAUCUUAUAGUUGUUUUGCGGACUGUAUGGGUUUGUGUUCAAGGUUUAGACCUAAGGACAAGAACGACGUCGGUGUUGAGAUUGGAACGAUGAUGAGGAUGGCCUGGCCAACCAUUUCUCCUGAGUCAGUCCAUCUUUAGCACGAUGUCGGGUCAAAGGUCCAUAAUUGUUUUAGUUUGUCAAAAACAGUGAGAGCACGAAAUUAUGAAUUGUGUCGAUGUGAUAGUGUGGAUUCAGGUGGUUUGUCUCGGUGACAAGGUGUGUUAGGUGGGACCAAGUAUCAAAACCAUUUGAUUACUAAGGAUCUUGUUUUGAGGAUUUGUGUCUUGGGUACAGGACAGUGCGCUUUACUGAUUGGGUAACAAAUGUCUAUGCAGUUGUUGGGAGAAUUAUUGUUUGGUCAUCUUGAGGUCGAUAAGUAUAGUGAUUAUCAUAUAGUGCAAUUAGUAGUUAUUGGUACGGUUAUGUAAUGGGGUAGCUACGUAUUAGAUAACAACUGUUUAGUCUGUCAGGGACGUGUAGAUUAGGGUUGAGAUGGAUUGAGAGAUGGAUGGGAUUUCUUGUUUGGGGUUUAGUGUGUCCCUUAGAGGAUGAGUUGGGUUGGACGUUGUUAUAUUUGGUGGUCUGGCGACUAUUCAUUUUUCAGAUUUUAGAACCUUUCUUGACUGUGUAGAGUAAACUGAUGUUCGUUUUGAGUCAGGCGUAGAGCCUAGUUGGUCUGAUGUCAUAAUGAGGUGAGAGAUGGGUACCGCAUUUGGUUUUGAUGGCAGUGGUAUGUGAUUUCCUGGUGAUGUUUAGUGUCAAAGGCAAUAAAGUUGGUGAAUUCAUGGUCUUGGGUUUUGUGAGGCUUCUCGACAAGGUGUUGAGGAACAAGAAGAUACCAUUAGUGAAAGUUCUCUGGAAACACCACGGAGUUGAGGAGGCUACUUGAGAGCUUGAACAGGAGAUUCGCUCCAAGUAUCUAGAGUUGUUUUCUUCCCCAGGUAUGACUUGAUUUCGGGGACGAAAUCCUUUUAAGUUGGGGAGAAUGUAAUGUCUGUAUAUUUAUGUGCAUAGGUGUAUAUAUAAUUGUGUGUAUGUAUAUGUGUAUUAUGUUGUGUUAUGGCUCAAAUUUAAGCAAAAAGUUAAAGGAAAAAGAAAUAAAAGGUGGUGGGACCUACCAUUAAACUAACUAAGGGCCAAGAGACCACAAAUGGUCUCAUUUCUCUCCUUCUCUCCCGUGCGCCUCUCUCUUCCCCUCUUCCUCUCUGUUUUUCUUUUCAUUUUGAUUUCCAAAACUUUGAAGCAAGAUCUUGAUCUCAUUUCUUAUCGAAAUUGAGUGCCGUUUGAGGCAAAACGAAGCUCGUGUCAAGCUCUACACAUCCAUACAAGCGAUUUCAGAUUUAGUGCACUCCUUGGAGUUCGAAUCUUAGGACCCAUUUCUAGGGUUUGUGAAGAAAAUUGGGGUUUUUGCUCAAUUAGAGGAACCGGUAAGGAGGUAGUGGAUGCCGAUCUUCCACAAGCUUAAGGAUGACUUGGAGCUCAUUUUGUAUCUUUUGUAUAUCUCCCAUUUUUGUAAGGCCCCAAAAGUGUAGUAAUGUGUAUUUAUUUUUCAAAACCAUGGUUAGGUAAUAUAAUUAUGUUACUAGAUGAUAUUUUGGAUGUGAGUUUGAUAUCAUGUAAACCUUAUUGAUGAAUGGGGAGGGAAAUACUAGUUUGAAAUAUUAUCGAGGUCAUUUGAUUGUGUA